rfam:Loxodonta africana unplaced genomic scaffold scaffold_147, whole genome shotgun sequence.
UGGCAUAGUGGUUAAGUGCUAUGGCUGCUAACCAAAAGGUUGGCAGUUCGAAUCUGCC